ensembl:lncRNA
AUGGCUAACAGUCAGAUUCAGCAUAUAUUUAUGAUCCAGAUGCUGAAAUUUAACAAGAGCAGCCUCAGCAACGACGUCUCUAUGUGCACGGAGUUACUUCAACUGCUGUUGGGUUACAGUCAGAGCGCGGGAUUUCUGCUUCCUCUUCAGGAGAGAGCGGUUCUCAGCGCCACCGAACUGGUGCACUUCUUCAGUAUAAUAAAGGUUUGUAUACAUUUUAUGCCAUCUAUAAUUUUACUGUGCUAUGAAUGAUAUUUACGCAGCACAACAUAAAGGGAUGAGAUGUCAGUCUGCUAAAUGCGUCAGCAGUGGUUGUUUCGCAUGAACAUCACGCAUUUUGCCUUGCAAACAUAAACAGAUUUUAUUUGUUAUAAUACUGAAUUUUAUUUAUUUCGACGUUAAAUAUGUUCUCUAAUCUCAGUAUUGUUUGUAUAUGGGCAGGUUGUGGAAUCAGUCACAGCAUCUUUCAGUGAAACGCGAGGCAGCGGUCUGAGGUUCACAGUUCCCCUGCCGAACUACAGCCCAUCACCGGCUCAGAUUUCUUGUUAAACAAGUGUAUGUAAAAUUCUAAACUGUUUUGUUCACCCAAAUAAAUUCAAUUUGUCUUUAAUUUUUAUUUUUCAUGAGUGUUCUUGCUUAUUAAUAAAUGUUCAUCUUUUGAUUAUCACUGUUGCCUCUAUUAAUUCUGUGCAUGAUUUUUCAGCUCAUUUUAAAUCAGCGAUAAUAAUAGUUAUAUUUAGUAAUUCAUAAUAGUUGAGUUAAACACAACUUAUAUGUGUUCAAAAUAACCCAGUGGUCUGUCCUUACCCAGCGAUGGGUUGCCAAAUAUCCCAGCAAUCAUUGUUUUUAAAACAGCAUAUUUUUAGAUAGUAGGCUAUGUUCAGCAGUGAACCUGUUGAAAAUAAUUGAUAAAUAGCUGGUAACAAAAAAGUUAACAACAAAAAUUAAAACAAACAAUUUUAAUCUCUCUAAAACUAUGUAUACAUAUAUGCUAUUGUUGCUUAUACAUUAAAGAGUGACUAAAAUACAGAUUAUCAAUAAAUACAUCUUUUCUGAUUCUGAAGUUUUACAUCCCAAAAUCACAAAACAAAAAUACAGGAAAAAAUACUAUUUAUUUAUUACUCUCCCAAAAAUAAUGUAUUUACAUUUUUACUUUAUCUAGUCAAAUGCAUUGCUAACAUAUAAAAUGUAAAAGAUCAUUAAAAAUAUAGUUUUUGGACAAGUAUCCUCCAUUUGGAUCAGAUUAACAAAAUUUGCAUAGUACUAUCUCCUCCUUCUGCUCUCUUAAGAAUGUUCACUCUGCUCUUUCUAGAGAUGUCAGCUAGAAGACAGAAUGAAGUGCCAGGUCAUUGUGUGCUGCCUCUAUUGUGUGUUUAGUAUUAGCAUGACAGAAGUGCCACUCGACUUCUCUGUCAUUCAUUAAGACUGUGAAGCCUUGUCCCGCGUCGAAAUGAACUAAGCACCAUGGCUUCCAUCUUGGAUUUCUAGAACUCUUGAAACAUAGCAUAAAAAUUCAGUAUUUUCUCAGUGAUUCAUUUCUGUAAGGCUGACCUUUUUUAAGGUGUUGAGGGGGAGGGCAAAUUCUAUUACAUUUAAUGGGAAAAUACCUCAUUGCUAUUUUAUUUUUGAAAUGCUAACCAGGUAUCAAGCUAGUAUUGUUAUAUUAAAUGUAACUGAAAAAAGAGGCAUGGAAUCCAAGAGGAGAUUUGUACUACCCAAGUGCUACUCACACUGAGUGCUACUCAAAUUUUAAGCAGUGACAAGCCUACUUAAGCCCACACAGUAGCACACUGAGUAUGUUUUUGAUGGCUACUUGAGGCUUCAUUCACGCAAACACCACUUUUUUUCCCCUUGUCAGCCUGAGUGAAGACUUUAAAUAAACACUCAAGCUUUGAACAAAUAAGCCAGUCAAGGCCUUGCUUGGCUCAUGCUCAACUCUGAUCCUGUUUAAAGACAACCUCAUUUGUUUCCUUAGAUGUUGAGAGUCUCUGGGAACUUAGACUAAGUCCCUCUGUAAACAUUUAUGUUUACAAGGUCAAGUGCAGACAGAGCCAAAAUGUUUGACUAGCUCAUGCUCGUGAUAAUGACUUUGGUAACAUUUACACACUGCGAGGGAUGCCAGGUGGAAAUUGAAGCUUUUUUGGUGAUGGCAGACAUAAGAACAUUACUGACUAAAUUUCUUUAUAAUGACUUGUGAUAUUUAAUGCUCAUUUUAUCAGCAUAUUUUCUAAAUGGUUUGCUAUUUCAUGAAUAUGCUAUGUGAAAGUAAAAACAUACCUUAAUUUACCAUGAUGGACACAAAAACUCUCAGAAGAUAUCUGUUACACAACUGAUAAAGAAAACAAUUAUUAAAAUCUAGCUGCAGACAGGCAGACUAUAAAUAUAUAUAUAUACACUGUCUAAAAGUCUUAGGCCAUUUGUAUUUUCACCAAUAGUUUUAAGUUAUUUCUAUCUUAUUUCUAAACAUUUCUUUUGCCAUUAAAUGGGAUAAUCCAGUUAAAAUGUAGUAUGCACAAGGAGUCUGACAACAGCCAGGAGAACUGUGGCAACAACUCCAAGACACUUCAAGAGUUCUACCCGAAAAGUUUCCUGAAAAAUAGGUGCAAGUGUACCUAUAUGACAAAAGCUGUUUAAACGUAAAGGUUGGUAACACCAAAUGUGGAUUUUAUUUAGUUAAUAGUUAAUUGAUGAAUAAAAUCGAUUUAUGACAUUAUUUCUGAAAGCAUCUUCACUUUACAGCAUUUUUACAAACUGACUAAAACUUUUCACAGUACUGUAGUAUUGCAGGUAGGUUUCUUGAAGUGUCUUGGAGACAUUGCCACAGUUCUUCUGGAUUUAUUCUGUCUCAGUUGUUUGUUCCUUCAUGUAAUUCCAGACAGACUGGAUGAUGAUGAGAUCAGAUCUCUGUGUGGAGCACUGGCUGUUGUCAGACUCCUUGUGCAUACAAAAAUCUCAAUUAAUGGCAAAAGAAAUGUUUGGAAAUGUAAACUGAUAUUUCCUACUUACACACUACAUUAAAAAAAAUUAAUAACUGACUUAAAACCAUUUUGUUGCUGGUGAAUAUACUAAUGGCCUUUCAGCACAGUACUGUAUAUACAUUGUGUUGGUUUGUAUAGUGAAAUAACCAGACACACAAGUCAGAUGAUCUUUGGAAUAAUUUGAAGCCAAUCUUUAUGAACAUUAUAAUUACAUGGUAUUGUUUAUCAACAUUAUUCACACAAUAAUAUGAUACAGAAACAUUAUACACAUUUACAAUAAUAAUUUUGUUUCCCUACAAUUUACACUAACCAAUCUUUCAUACAAAAAUAAUCUUCCUGUAUUUAGCACUUUGAAUGGCAGUUUCUUAAUAACUUAAUAUAUAGCGGAGCACAUAUUUCCAACAUAAUUUCUUAAAGACAUAUUACUCAUUUUCAUGGUGUGCAGAUUUUGGCAGCUUAACUAGGUUUUGAAAAAUAACGUUUCACUAUGGGAUUCUGGUUUUCUUCUCCUCCCAUUUUCUUCUUUAUUUUAUCCAGUGGUCUAUCUGUCUCUUGAACCUGUACAUUUUUAAGCGCCUAAGCAAACGUAAGGACCACAGGGCUUUCUAGGACAGCUAAUAGGAAAAAUAUGCGAAUUAUUCGAAUACCCUACUCUUUCAGGGGGACUACUUUUCUGUCAAUAAUUUACCGAUUCACAUAGGCUACUGGAAAAAAAUGUAUAGCCUGAAUGCACUGUAAGUCGCUUUGGAUAAAAGCGUCUGCUAAAUCCAUAAAUGUAAAUGAGUUUCGUCUGGUGCAGCACGUCUCGAGGUACGCUCGCACAUUCAUCUAAAGACAUUUUAAACCAAACACAAAGGGCCUUGUGAUAUUUGUGUGUGUGAAUAUACAAUAGCUAAAUUGAUAAGUAAUAGGCUACUCGUACUGACGGAAAGUGUUGGCUACCCUUGGCUUACAUCAAAACAACUUCUUAUUUUGCUUCCGCGGUUACUGAAACUUCGAAUACGUAUCCAAACGUAGGCUAGACUAUAUAAACCCCCUCCACACACAUGCCUUUUUUUGGGGUGAGGGGGGAAGGGGACCUAAUUUGGGGACGUUAGAAUUUCCCCCAUUAUUUCCACCCAGGCCAGAUAUGCAGUUAACCCACUGAUCUAUCUAUAACAGCCUAUAACAUUAUUUAGAUCAGCGAGUUACGCA